GGCGCCUAGGGGGCAGCAGUGGGGGAUAUUGCACAAUGGGGGAAACCCUGAUGCAGCGACGCCGCGUGAGCGAUGAAGUAUUUCGGUAUGUAGAGCUCUAUCAGCAGGGAAGAAAAUGACGGUACCUGACUAAGAAGCCCCGGCUAACUACGUGCCAGCAGCCGCGGUAAUACGUAGGGGGCAAGCGUUAUCCGGAUUUACUGGGUGUAAAGGGAGCGUAGACGGCAGUGCAAGUCUGAAGUGAAAGGCAAGGGCUCAACCCUUGGACUGCUUUGGAAACUGUGCUGCUGGAGUGUCGGAGAGGG
rnacentral:rRNA from 1 species